ensembl:miRNA
UUGUGCUUGAUCUAACCAUGUGGCUGCCAGGUUCCUAUCGUGGAACAUGGUUCUUUCAAGCACCAUG